UUUGACACAUGUGCUGUAGCUGCUUCCAUGUGCCUGCUGCAGGCAAAAAGAAGCCAGAGUGACAGUUUUCUGUGAUGGUGAACAUUCUGUCAGCUGUAACUGAUCUGCAACAUUUCAGGAAAUAACAGUU